GGUGAUUUAGCUCAAUGGUAGAGCGCUUGCCUAGCAAGCACAAGAUCCUGGGUUCGGUCCCCAGCUCCG
rfam:Rattus norvegicus chromosome 13, whole genome shotgun sequence.